UACAGAGGUCCCAAGCGUUGUUCGGAUUCACUGGGCGUAAAGGGUGCGUAGGUGGCGAGGUAAGUCGGAUGUGAAAGCUCGGAGCUCAACUCCGAAAUGGCAUUGGAAACUACCUUGCUCGAGGGUCGGAGGGGGGACUGGAAUACUUGGUGUAGCAGUGAAAUGCGUAGAUAUCAAGUGGAACACCAGUGGCGAAGGCGAGUCCCUGGACGACUCCUGACACUGAGGCGCGAAAGCUAGGGGAGCAAACAGG
rnacentral:rRNA from 1 species